GACAGAGGGUGCAAACGUUGUUCGGAAUUACUGGGCGUAAAGCGCGUGUAGGCGGCAAGGCAGGUCGGAUGUGAAAGCCCGCGGCUCAACCGUGGAAGUGCACUCGAAACCGCCUAGCUGGAGUCUCGGAGAGGAAGGUGGAAUUCCUGGUGUAGCGGUGAAAUGCGCAGAUAUCAGGAAGAACACCCGUGGCGAAGGCGGCUCUCUGGGACGGUACUGACGCUGAGACGCGAAAGCGUGGGGAGCGAACAGG
rnacentral:rRNA from 1 species